rnacentral:pre_miRNA from 1 species
AAUCUAUUCCCUCCGUCCAACAAAAGAUGUCUCAAGUUUGUCAAAAUUUGGAUGUAUCUAGACAUGACUUGGUGUCUAGAUUCAAAUUUAGUCAAAGUUGAGAACAUCAUUCGUUGAACGGAAGAAGUAUAAC